rnacentral:lncRNA from 1 species
UUUUUUUUUUUUUUUUUUUUGCAAUGUUCGCGUUGCUUCGAUCUAGUGUGCCUUCGACCGAAGAAAAACGAACGUAGCGAAAAAAGAUUUCGAAUUUGAAACCAUACUUAUCGAACACAGACAAAAACGACAUGGUAUCAGCGAAAUACGCAUAUAGAAAAUAUAGAAAAAUACAAAUGAAAAAGAAAAAGGGAAAAAUUAGAAUUGAAAAAGAGAAACACGAAUCCGCGAUCUCGCCACCAUCUUCAUUUGUAAAAGUGUCUAUUUUCUCCGCUGCCUAAGUACAUACUAAUUAAUGAAAAAGGGUUGGCGAAUUCGGCAACCAGGCCAAGUCCGUCGACGAAACGGGAACAAUCUUUUGUGUGUUUCUUUGCGCUAAAAAGUUUUGGGGUCGUUCGGCGAUUGCGCUUCGUGGACGGGAUUGACCGCCAAUUUUUCCUCCUAUUCUCCGCUUCGAUUAAUAUCUCGUAAGCUUAAUGAAAAAAAAAUAUCUCGUGUAUUCUGUGAUAAUUACUACCCUUAAAGUACAUAUACACACGUAUACACUCGCACAUACAUAUUUCACGUAACCUAUAAACAUUUAUACAUAUAAUAAUAAAAAACACACACGGUAUAACCUAACAAUCAGAACUGCUAAGUUGGUACACGGAUAGAAUACAAGUCUAUCUAUUAGUUAUUUAUUGAUUAAUUUGUAAAUUGUAAGAUGGAUCAAUUGUACUGUAUUGAACAAUUUAUAUUGUUAUUUAGCUAUUAAUUAUUUCUAAUAGAUUCAAACAAUCAUAAAGAUAAGCAUGCGUAAUGAUCGAAAAUUUAUCACAAAUAAGAAAUUAUUAUAAUAUCGAAAAAUUUGUUUUUUUUUUGUUAUCCUAAAUGCCAACUUACCAACUCUAUAAACAAUUGAAUUGAGUAUGUAACAUGUAACACAAAACAGACAAACAUAUAUAGAACAUAAUUGUACAUACACAAUAUACCGCGCGCAUAUACAUAUACACAUCAAGCACAUGAACACCGUUCCCAAUAGCAACAGUAUUUUUCUCUUUUAAAAGACAUUUCGAUUUCUAUUCUCUAUACUCGUUAAACGUCCGAAGAGUCUCAUUGGUGUGAUAGCGAAAGAUACCAUGGCAAUGUUGCAUAAAGAUUGUGAUAAAUUAUCACAAUAUCUAUGUAAUCGAUCGGUAAUAUAAGAAUGACACGAAUAUGAUGAUAUUAAUAUUGGGAACGCAAAAGUAAUCGUCGAAUAAUCAAUCAGGUAAGAGAGGAAUUUCGACGAGCAACGAGGGACAGAAAAUGACUAGGAAUUUUCACGUUACCGUUUAAUAGUGAUAUUUUUGUCCAAAUUCACGUGAACGGUAUGCGUGAAUGUUGCUUCUUAUAUAUAGUUUGCAGUCAUAGGAAAACAAAAGAAAUCGUUGUUAUAACAUUUUGUCCUUUUGUUUAUUUUGUAUUGACUGAUCUAAAAGAAAAAAUUGCACAAAAAUAUAUUAUUCAAAAAGAAAUGAUACAAAAGUGCUCUGCAAUGAUUCAAUUUGAAAUGAAUAAAAGUUUAACCCUGCUGGGACUCUCAAACGGAAUUCAGUUUUCAAGUGCUUUAUCUUGGAUUCUACUUAAGAUAUCGAUAUAAUUACGGUACUAAUACAUAAUUUAUAAAAUUGAUAUUAUUCUAGUAUUAUUAGAUUAUUAUAAUAACGUGAUGCAUGCUAUGAAUGUUUAGAAAUGAAUGUUUAAUAAUAGACCUAGCCUUUAGUCUAUGAAUUUCAUUACUUUUAAUAACUUUGAAUUCGAAGAAAGAAAAAGAAUAUAAAAGAACAAUGAAAAAAAUAUAUAUAUAUAUAAAAUAGAAUGGUCCCUAAAGGGUUAAAAAAAAUAUUAAAAAAGAAGAGAAAUAAAAUGUAUUAUUACAUAAUGAGAAUGCAUAUCCGUAAAUCAUUUUAAUAUAUCAUUAACAUUUAUAUAUUUUAAAUUUAUACAAUCGAAAAUAAAUGCGAAAAUCGAAAAAAUUUUUCUGUGAUUGAAUGUCUCGUUGCACGAAUCGAUUCAUUAUUCUUCUCAAAAAAAAUCGAAGAAAAAAGAAAAGAAAUAUAUAACGAAACAAGGUUAAGUGUUCGUAUUUCUUGUUCGACGAGAGCAUGAGAUGUCAUCGCGAACUUUUGCGUUCACUAGCUGACCAUGGACGCAGAACCAAAGAAAGGAAAUUAUUCGAAAACUAGACUUCAGAUUGCUGUAUUAUGAGAACAUUUAGCAGAAAAAACCAUUUAACAAAUGGAAAGGAAAAAAGAAAAAAAGAACAAAUAUAUACACAAUUGUUGACAAUACUAUGCUUGAGAAAUCGUACGACGCGUAUAUAAUUGUACUUAACAAAUAUAUUAAAAAAAAAAAAAAAAAAAAAAAGAAAAAAAAUGGCAGAAUGUUUGUGUUUCGUAAAUAAAGCAUAUUAAGGAAUAAAUUUGUAAUCAUGUGACAAGAAAUGCAAAAAGAAAAUAAUAACGAAACGCGUAAUUCUGUGCGUACGUGCGGAUGACUGCAUGAUUAUUAGGUAUUAUAUCUCAACGAGUACAUUUUCAUCGUUCCCGUAAAGAAUACCAUUGUUAUCAAAAUUUUUAACGCGAAACUAAGCGAAUGAAGAGGGAGAAGAAUUAUAUUACAACACACCGUUGCGCAGCCUCCGAAUAUACAUAGGUGAACCUAAAAGCAAUUGUAUCAGAGACAAACACGCACAUUCAACACAAAAAAAAAAUACCAAAUCCCAGAUCUUUAUUAAUAAACGUUUAUCUUUCGUUCGUUCACUUGCACUAAGAGCUUAUUCUUUGAAUCAUUUAUGUAGUUCAAAUCUUUUUAGCUCUAAACGAUGUGUGUGCACGAUUUUUCGUUAUGAUUCUAUCCUUAAAAAAUGGUAUCUCUCUUGAUCGAUUGACGCACGCGACGCCAGCAUUGCCAGAUUCAAUUAUAAGAAUGUGCAUCGUGAUUAACGAUAUAAUAAAACUAUAUGUAAAAAAUUGAUUAUGAUUAUUUAUUUAAUUAUCCUUAAAAAGAAUUAUAAAAGAAACAAAUUUGUUUGGCGACGUGUGUAACAAGAUUCGAUCAAUAAAUUAAAAAAACGACAUGAUAUAAUAUAAAACAGCGAAAGAGAGAAUGAUUAAAUGACAAUGUUAUUCAAGAAUAUGCAAACUAUAUUAUAAAUAUGAAAAAAAUUGUUACAGUUGGUAUCUAUCGAUCAAUUAAAUAAUUAAAUGAAGUAUAAAAAGGUGAUAUUGUGCGUGAAUAAAAUGCAAACGAGGAAAGUUGACCAGAGUUUUAUCAUCGUUGAAUUAUUGUACCACAUUCCAUAUCAUCAUAUUUUACAUGAAAGGUAAAACCAAAAUAUAUUCAUUAUCAUGAAAUAUUAGAUAAACUUUAAGAUGUGAUUCAAUGUUUCAUCAAUGCAUAAUCGCUGUACGAAAUUUAUCGAAACCAUCGAUAAUCUAGAGGACUUAUAUUUCAUUAAUCAUAAUCCAAAUUCUUAUAUUACUUUAAUAAAAAUUAUUAUUGUAUGUUAAUUUUUUAAAAAUUUUU